AGCGAACGCUGGCGGCAGGCUUAACACAUGCAAGUCGAACGCCAUCUUCGGAUGGAGUGGCAGACGGGUGAGUAACGCGUGGAAACAUACCUUUUGCUUCGGAAUAUUCCCGGGAAACUGGGAGCAAUACCGAAUACGCCCUGAGGGGGAAAGAUUUAUCGGCAAAAGAUUGGUCCGCGUUAGAUUAGGUAGUUGGUAGGGUAAUGGCCUACCAGGCCUACGAUCUAUAGCUGGUCUGAGAGGAUGAUCAGCCACAUUGGGACUGGGACACGGCCCAAACUCCUACGGGAGGCAGCAGUGGGGAAUAUUGGACAAUGGGCGAAAGCCUGAUCCAGCCAUGCCGCGUGAAUGAUGAAGGCCUUAGGGUUGUAAAAUUCUUUCACCGGGGACGAUAAUGACGGUACCCGGAGAAGAAGCCCCGGCUAACUUCGUGCCAGCAGCCGCCGUAA
rnacentral:rRNA from 1 species